UACGUAGGUGGCAAGCGUUGUCCGGAUUUACUGGGCGUAAAGAGCGCGCAGGCGGCUGAUUAAGUCGAAUGUGAAAGCCCCCGGCUCAACUGGGGAGGGUCAUUCGAUACUGAUCAACUUGAAGGCAGGAGAGAGAAGUGGAAUUCCCGGUGUAGUGGUGAAAUGCGUAGAUAUCGGGAGGAACACCAGUGGCGAAGGCGACUUCCUGGCCUGUUCUUGACGCUGAGGCGCGAAAGCUAGGGGAGCAAACGGGG
rnacentral:rRNA from 1 species